rnacentral:rRNA from 1 species
UUAAGCGACUAAGCGUACACGGUGGAUGCCCUGGCAGUCAGAGGCGAUGAAGGACGUGCUAAUCUGCGAUAAGCGUCGGUAAGGUGAUAUGAACCGUUAUAACCGGCGAUUUCCGAAUGGGGAAACCCAGUGUGAUUCGUCACACUAUCAUUAACUGAAUCCAUAGGUUAAUGAGGCGAACCGGGGGAACUGAAACAUCUAAGUACCCCGAGGAAAAGAAAUCAACCGAGAUUCCCCCAGUAGCGGCGAGCGAACGGGGAGCAGCCCAGAGCCUGAAUCAGUGUGUGUGUUAGUGGAAGCGUCUGGAAAGGCGCGCGAUACAGGGUGACAGCCCCGUACACAAAAAUGCACAUGCUGUGAGCUCGAUGAGUAGGGCGGGACACGUGGUAUCCUGUCUGAAUAUGGGGGGACCAUCCUCCAAGGCUAAAUACUCCUGACUGACCGAUAGUGAACCAGUACCGUGAGGGAAAGGCGAAAAGAACCCCGGCGAGGGGAGUGAAAAAGAACCUGAAACCGUGUACGUACAAGCAGUGGGAGCACGCUUAGGCGUGUGACUGCGUACCUUUUGUAUAAUGGGUCAGCGACUUAUAUUCUGUAGCAAGGUUAACCGAAUAGGGGAGCCGAAGGGAAACCGAGUCUUAACUGGGCGUUAAGUUGCAGGGUAUAGACCCGAAACCCGGUGAUCUAGCCAUGGGCAGGUUGAAGGUUGGGUAACACUAACUGGAGGACCGAACCGACUAAUGUUGAAAAAUUAGCGGAUGACUUGUGGCUGGGGGUGAAAGGCCAAUCAAACCGGGAGAUAGCUGGUUCUCCCCGAAAGCUAUUUAGGUAGCGCCUCGUGAAUUCAUCUCCGGGGGUAGAGCACUGUUUCGGCAAGGGGGUCAUCCCGACUUACCAACCCGAUGCAAACUGCGAAUACCGGAGAAUGUUAUCACGGGAGACACACGGCGGGUGCUAACGUCCGUCGUGAAGAGGGAAACAACCCAGACCGCCAGCUAAGGUCCCAAAGUCAUGGUUAAGUGGGAAACGAUGUGGGAAGGCCCAGACAGCCAGGAUGUUGGCUUAGAAGCAGCCAUCAUUUAAAGAAAGCGUAAUAGCUCACUGGUCGAGUCGGCCUGCGCGGAAGAUGUAACGGGGCUAAACCAUGCACCGAAGCUGCGGCAGCGACGCUUAUGCGUUGUUGGGUAGGGGAGCGUUCUGUAAGCCUGUGAAGGUGUGCUGUGAGGCAUGCUGGAGGUAUCAGAAGUGCGAAUGCUGACAUAAGUAACGAUAAAGCGGGUGAAAAGCCCGCUCGCCGGAAGACCAAGGGUUCCUGUCCAACGUUAAUCGGGGCAGGGUGAGUCGACCCCUAAGGCGAGGCCGAAAGGCGUAGUCGAUGGGAAACAGGUUAAUAUUCCUGUACUUGGUGUUACUGCGAAGGGGGGACGGAGAAGGCUAUGUUGGCCGGGCGACGGUUGUCCCGGUUUAAGCGUGUAGGCUGGUUUUUCCAGGCAAAUCCGGAAAAUCAAGGCUGAGGCGUGAUGACGAGGCACUACGGUGCUGAAGCAACAAAUGCCCUGCUUCCAGGAAAAGCCUCUAAGCAUCAGGUAACAUCAAAUCGUACCCCAAACCGACACAGGUGGUCAGGUAGAGAAUACCAAGGCGCUUGAGAGAACUCGGGUGAAGGAACUAGGCAAAAAUGGUGCCGUAACUUCGGGAGAAGGCACGCUGAUAUGUAGGUGAAGUCCCUUGCGGAUGGAGCUGAAAUCAGUCGAAGAUACCAGCUGGCUGCAACUGUUUAUUAAAAACACAGCACUGUGCAAACACGAAAGUGGACGUAUACGGGUGUGACGCCUGCCCGGUGCCGGAAGGUUAAUUGAUGGGGUCAGCGCAAGCGAAGCUCUUGAUCGAAGCCCGGUAAACGGCGGCCGUAACUAUAACGGUCCUAAGGUAGCGAAAUUCCUUGUCGGGUAAGUUCCGACCUGCACGAAUGGCGUAAUGAUGGCCAGGCUGUCUCCACCCGAGACUCAGUGAAAUUGAACUCGCUGUGAAGAUGCAGUGUACCCGCGGCAAGACGGAAAGACCCCGUGAACCUUUACUAUAGCUUGACACUGAACAUUGAGCCUUGAUGUGUAGGAUAGGUGGGAGGCUUGGAAGUGUGGACGCCAGUCUGCAUGGAGCCGACCUUGAAAUACCACCCCUUUAAUGUUUGAUGUUCUAACGUUGACCCGUAAUCCGGGUUGCGGACAGUGUCUGGUGGGUAGUUUGACUGUUAAGUCAGAUGUGAAAUCCCCGGGCUCAACCUGGGAACUGCAUCUGAUACUGGCAAGCUUGAGUCUCGUAGAGGGGGGUAGAAUUCCAGGUGUAGCGGUGAAAUGCGUAGAGAUCUGGAGGAAUACCGGUGGCGAAGGCGGCCCCCUGGACGAAGACUGACGCUCAGGUGCGAAAGCGUGGGGAGCAAACAGGAUUAGAUACCCUGGUAGUCCACGCCGUAAACGAUGUCGACUUGGAGGUUGUGCCCUUGAGGCGUGGCUUCCGGAGCUAACGCGUUAAGUCGACCGCCUGGGGAGUACGGCCGCAAGGUUAAAACUCAAAUGAAUUGACGGGGGCCCGCACAAGCGGUGGAGCAUGUGGUUUAAUUCGAUGCAACGCGAAGAACCUUACCUGGUCUUGACAUCCACGGAAGUUUUCAGAGAUGAGAAUGUGCCUUCGGGAACCGUGAGACAGGUGCUGCAUGGCUGUCGUCAGCUCGUGUUGUGAAAUGUUGGGUUAAGUCCCGCAACGAGCGCAACCCUUAUCCUUUGUUGCCAGCGGUCCGGCCGGGAACUCAAAGGAGACUGCCAGUGAUAAACUGGAGGAAGGUGGGGAUGACGUCAAGUCAUCAUGGCCCUUACGACCAGGGCUACACACG